AUUAUAAUUAAGAGAAAACAAAACCCAAUAGUAAAGAGCAACUCUCUCAUCCGCCACUCUCUCAGAAUUCUCUCCGCACUCUUGAUGUCACCCCAAAAGUAAGACAAUUGUAAUUGGGGGAGCAACAGCUAGAGGCAUAUACAGUGUAUUUACUACGGAUUCAACCAACGCGGAAUGUAGAUCCUGAUGUUUGGGUUGAGCCACGAGCUCAACUAACCUAUAUCGAUAUUUGCAAUCCAUAGAGGAUUUCCGCCGGACUCUGUCAGAUAAUAGUCAAGACCUUCCAGUUAGCCAAGAGCAGAAUGAGAGAAUAUGGUUAGAUGCGGUUGGUGGUCCGAGUAGGUAUGCGUAUGCUUAUGAUACGGGAAUAAUCUCGGAUAUGUACUUAGGAGAGUGCAUGUUGGACUCGAGCCUUGGCAUGUGCAAUUGAAGUGUAAAAGAGGCCCAAAAUGCACCCAAAUCAGCCCAUAAAUUACACUAGAUGGGUGCCCACUCUUUGAAGGAUUUUUUGGUCAUUUUAACUUAUAUUUUGUAAUAGUUAUAAAAGGAACAUUGUAGGGUUUUUAUAUUUAGUUUUUGAUGAUAUUUGUGAGUCUUGAAAGACCAAAGAACACAAGUCCUCUCUCCUUGAGGCACCAACACCGAAACUAGGAUACAACAAUAGGGUGGAUUCUCUUUUGUUGUUGCUUGCUUGGAAACGUUGAUGCUAGAGAGGUGCAAUCCGAUCUUGUGUCACGUAAGAGAUAGGUUUAUUGUUGUGUGUAGUGUUAAGGGUCCAAGAGUAUCCAUUCUUGGGUUCUUGAGAUUAUACCUUCAUGUGGUCUAUCUAUCUAUCCCUUUACCUUCUUGUAAUCGUGUUUAGUGUUUGUGUUGUAAUCUUGUGUUCUUGUUGUUAUUGUUAAAUCCGAAUCUUGUGCCUUUGUGUUCAUCUUGUUCUUCACGUAUUGUUGGUGUUUUGGUGUGAAA